rnacentral:rRNA from 1 species
AACGCUAGCUACAGGCUUAACACAUGCAAGUCGAGGGGUAGCACGGAAGAAGCUUGCUUCUUUGGGUGACGACCGGCGCACGGGUGAGUAACGCGUAUCCGACCUACCCAUAACUCGGGCACAGCCGCUCGAAAGAGUGAUUGAUUCCCGAUAUGUCUUUAGAGUAGAUCUAAUGAUGAAAGCUUCAUCGGUUAUGGAUGGGGAUGCGUAAGAUUAGGUAGUAGGCGGGGUAACGGCCCACCUAGCCGACGAUCUUUAGGGGUUCUGAGAGGAAGGUCCCCCACACUGGUACUGAGACACGGACCAGACUCCUACGGGAGGCAGCAGUGAGGAAUAUUGGUCAAUGGGCGGAAGCCUGAACCAGCCAAGUAGCGUGAAGGAUUACAGCCCUACGGGUUUUAAACUUCUUUUAUAUAAGAGUAAUGUGCACUACGUGUAGUGUACUGCAAGUAUUAUAUGAAUAAGCAUCGGCUAACUCCGUGCCAGCAGCCGCGGUAAUACGGAGGAUGCGAGCGUUAUCCGGAUUUAUUGGGUUUAAAGGGAGCGUAGGCGGGAUAUUAAGUCAGUCGUCAAAGCCUGUGGCUCAACCACAGCCCGCGAUUGAUACUGGUAACCUUGAGUGCGGAUGAGGUGGAUGGAAUUCGUGGUGUAGCGGUGAAAUGCUUAGAUAUCACGAAGAACUCCGAUUG